GACGAACGCUGGCGGCGUGCCUAAUACAUGCAAGUAGAACGCUGAAGGAGGAGCUUGCUUCUCUGGAUGAGUUGCGAACGGGUGAGUAACGCGUAGGUAACCUGCCUGGUAGCGGGGGAUAACUAUUGGAAACGAUAGCUAAUACCGCAUAAGAGUAGAUGUUGCAUGACAUUUGCUUAAAAGGUGCAAUUGCAUCACUACCAGAUGGACCUGCGUUGUAUUAGCUAGUUGGUGGGGUAACGGCUCACCAAGGCGACGAUACAUAGCCGACCUGAGAGGGUGAUCGGCCACACUGGGACUGAGACACGGCCCAGACUCCUACGGGAGGCAGCAGUAGGGAAUCUUCGGCAAUGGACGGAAGUCUGACCGAGCAACGCCGCGUGAGUGAAGAAGGUUUUCGGAUCGUAAAGCUCUGUUGUAAGAGAAGAACGAGUGUGAGAGUGGAAAGUCCACACUGUGACGGUAUCUUACCAGAAAGGGACGGCUAACUACGUGCCAGCAGCCGCGGUAAUACGUAGGUCCCGAGCGUUGUCCGGAUUUAUUGGGCGUAAAGCGAGCGCAGGCGGUUAGAUAAGUCUGAAGUUAAAGGCUGUGGCUUAACCAUAGUACGCUUUGGAAACUGUUUAACUUGAGUGCAAGAGGGGAGAGUGGAAUUCCAUGUGUAGCGGUGAAAUGCGUAGAUAUAUGGAGGAACACCGGUGGCGAAAGCGGCUCUCUGGCUUGUAACUGACGCUGAGGCUCGAAAGCGUGGGGAGCAAACAGG
rnacentral:rRNA from 1 species